GAGAGUAUAUCUCAGUGGUAGAGUGUGUGCUUAGCAUGCAUGAGGUCCUGGGUUCAAUCCCCAGUACGUCCA
rnacentral:tRNA from 1 species